rnacentral:rRNA from 1 species
CCCAGACUCCUACGGGAGGCAGCAGUGGGGGAUAUUGCACAAUGGGGGGAACCCUGAUGCAGCGACGCCGCGUGGGUGAAGGAGCGUUUCGGCGCGUAAAGCCCUAUCGGCAGGGAAGAAGGAGGACGGUACCUGACUAAGAAGCCCCGGCUAACUACGUGCCAGCAGCCGCGGUAAUACGUAGGGGGCAAGCGUUAUCCGGAUUUACUGGGUGUAAAGGGGGCGCAGACGGCAGCGCAAGCCAGGAGUGAAAGCCCGGGGCCCAACCCCGGGACUGCUCUUGGAACUGCGCGGCUGGAGUGCAGGAGGGGCAGGCGGAAUUCCUGGUGUAGCGGUGAAAUGCGUAGAUAUCAGGAGGAACACCGGUGGCGAAGGCGGCCACCUGGACGACAACUGACGCUGAGGUGCGAAAGCGUGGGUAGCAAACAGGAUUAGAUACCCCCGUA